CGCGAAUUUUAAUACAAGUAUGGUAUCAUAUUUCAUAAUACAACAAACAAUGUAAACUAGCCAUACAUUUUGCCGAACAUAACUUCGGCCCCUUUGGACAUAUCUUUUUCGUGAUAAUGUUAUUGGAACCAGAAUCGAAAACACUAUUUAUAGUGUUAUUUUCAAGCUUGUGUCUUGAGAUUUUCAUCUUUUAUUUCGGUAUUUACAGAAUAUUUAUACUUUUAGCGCGGCCCAUGGAACGCACAUGAAAACAACGCGCUGUUAGGAAAAACCGGAAAUCGAUUCUGUAGGUCGGCAUGAUUUGUACGUGCAUCGAUCUCCAUUACGUCUCCCGAAAAGGCCUUUUAUUUUUUUAAAAAGUCCAUAAAAUUUGCUUGCGGUUUAAGAUUUGUAUUCCUGCCUUUUGUACCAUAGCACAUAUCUCGUUAUUUUCAGGCAGUGUGAACGCCUGAGCAGGCGUCUUGUUAUAUAAUAAUCUGCAAUCGGCCAUUUCAUUGACCAAUAGCAUGAUCUAUUCCAGGAAAGAGGCACGAUUUUUGUAUUUGAUGUAAGAUUUUUGUAUUUUUUCCACCCUCAGGACUGCAUUGCGUGCGUUUUCUGAAACAGAUUUUUGGCCAUAUAGCGUUACAUUAUACUGUAGAUGGACU